rnacentral:lncRNA from 1 species
GCGCGCCCGAGCAGAUCGCUGCUGAAAUCGCGAGGCGACGGAGGGAAAGUUGUGCUGCUCAGACUCUGGAGGAUCACCGUUCAAUGAACGAGGAGCGAAUUCACGCACCAUGAACACUGUCGCUUGAGAAAAGGAAGAGUGCUGUAAACUUACAAUCAUGUUUUGGACUAUUUUGUUGCCAUAUUGUGUGACUUUUGUGCUGGGAAAUAAGACCGACGAACGAAUACCUUUCUUCCACGGGCAUGUGUUUGAGAACUCUCCACCUGGCUCAAAAGUGAACGGACUGAGUAUCCCGGUGAAGCGCAUCGAUCCGCAGCGAUGGUGCGCCAAGUCCGGGAUGCACCUGAAACUCCUGGGGGACAGGAGUGAAGAUUUCCAGGUCUUCGCGCACCACAAGCGAGGACACAUAUUGCUGAAAACCUCUAACGUUCUCGAUCGAGAGGAGCGCGCUGAGUAUCUCCUCAGUCUGGCGCUGUGCUGUCAGAGCUGCGCUUCAGCCGUGCGCGUCGUGGCCGAAGUUGCUUCAGUUAAAGUGGACGUGCUCGACACGAACGACCACGAGCCCACUUUCCAACACGCAGACGUCAAAAUAACUUUGGACGACGCCACGGCCCUGAGGUCGGUGGUGUACACGGUGAAAGCGGAGGACAUCGACAGCGGCAAAAACGCCGAGCUCAUAUACUACGCGCUUCCUAGAAACGGCAGUUUCUAUGUGGUGCCCAAAACCGGCGACAUCCUCCUCGUGGACUCGAUUCUGGGUCUCGCGCAGCCCAUAAAGUUCAGCGUGUUUGCGCGAGACCACGGCUGGCCCGCUCGGACCAGUCAGAAUAUGGAUGUAGAGAUAAGUCCGCGCCAAUGGCCAGCCCUUCCUCAGAUCGAUAACGGACUCUCGAGAAAGUCCCGCUCCGUGCCGGAGCCGGUGCUUAUCACCGUGUCCGAAGACGCGAGUAUCGGCUCCGUCAUAAUGAAUCUACACCCGGUGAGGUUUCAGUCCGCCAGUUUUGAGCUGAUUCACCCGGACGCGGAUAACUCUCCCGUCACCGUGAGUCGGGACAGCGGAGAUUUGGUUAUAUCAAGACGGCUCGACCGAGAGACGCAGCCGCUAGUGGAGAUAACUGUAAAAGUACAAGAUAAGCGAG